UCAGAAAGGUCUACAGUAAGAGGUAGUUGAGAACCAAGCCGGCAGUCUCCCAGGAACAGACAACACUCGAAAUGGGUGACAUUUGUUGUACAACCAAUAAAUUAUUAUCAACUGAUGUUGAUAAACACUCAAAAAAAAUGAAAGCAGCCAUGAGAAGAAGCCCAUCCUUUACCACAUGAACAAGACAUCAAAGAUACUGGAACUCCUGGUUCUUGGGCAUUUGGACUGGGACUGAAUUAUGCCACCAGCUUCCCUGGGUCGCCAGCUGGCAGACAGCAGAUCAUGGCAUACCUCUGCCUCCAUAAUCGCUGUCCUCUACGUUGAUGCCAUCUUCUGUCCCCACAUGGAGCUUCAUGGGAACACCUACAAUCAGAAAAUGAUCUACUUUCCCAAAGCUAAAAACCAAAAGUUUCCCCCCUGAGACACUGUGCCUACUACUAAAGCUAUCAUGUAGGGUUUGUAAUAUACCAACUGGCUUAGCCUGGCUGCAGAAGUUGAGAACCCAAAAUAACACAUACCCACUGAAAAUCAGACCCCAGCCUAGCCUGGCUCCCUAUAAACAACAAACUAUUUGUGAGUAUCUCAAUUUGUUUUCUGUCAGAGUCCAACUGGGCUUUCUUCAUACAAUCUCUAGUUUAAAAGCUUUUCAUUUGAAUCCAGAGAGAAAAACA